CCCGACCACAUUCGCCCUUGCAGCACCUGCAAAUGCUCUGGGUCUGUAAACAAAUGACCAGAACUUCGCCAAGUAGCCUUUCUCUGGGAGAGGGAGGGGCCCAGGGCACUGCGAUUUAACACACCCUCCACGCCCUCCAGUGAAUCCUCAGUGAGAAAGCUCCUGGGGCCUACCAAGGGCUCCUCAGGGAUUCCUCCCUCGCACACGGGGCUUGUCUGGGUUGAGGACUGAGAGAGUCUUACAUACAGCUACCUAACGAGAAUUAUCCGUCAAGGGAAUCGUGGUAUCAGAUCUUGGUGAACUGGUCUCAGCUUCCAGACUUCCUAGAGUUACAGUGGUAGGUUUUGCUCCCUCCCCUUUCUGCACCAUUCGGUUUGUUUCUCAUUGGGAUGGAACAGCCCAGGGUAGCCAAGACGGUGCCAGGAAACCGGCGGGAAUUAAGCUAUCGUUAUAGAAACGCUCUCCACGCCUUCCCAUCCACCACUGAGCCUGACCUCAAAGCUGCAAGGUAGUGCUGGCCCUUCAGGCUGAAGGUGGUGUUGCGCACCCUGCAGGUUGAAGGUGGUACUGCACCCCAAGCUGGAGGUGGUGCUGCACCCCACAUGUGGGCUAAAGGUUCUACUGUUCCCACCCCAAGGCUGAAGAUAGUACUCUGUCGUUCCCCCCCAGGCUGAAGGUGGUAUUUGUAUACACACACACACACACACACACACACAUACACGGGUCACGGUGGUAUUGUCCCCCCACAGGCUAAAGGUCAUAUUGCCCCUACAAGGCUGAUGGUUGUACUGUUUGCCCAGGCUGAAGGUGACACUGCCCCUCUCCAAGUUAAUGUCAUCCUCAUAGUACAUCGGGAAGUUACUGCAUCCCACCCGCAAGGCUGAGUGUAUUCCUGUUCUAACAAGAAAGCAAAGGCUGGAAUUGUCAGGUUGGCCCAGGAGUAAUGGACUAAAAUACACAGGACAGAGAGCCCUCACCACCUGCCAAGAGUCCCUGCUGAGAAAUGCCAACUGCUUUCUACAACAAGGGAGUCAUGACCAGAAGACACAAGGAUGACUGAGAAACUGGAAUGAGGUCCUGUUGGGAGAGAUGCCUGCCUCUUUGGGAUUCUGGAGGCUCCUCUGGGUACAAGUUCUGGAGAACAGCAGGAGGUGCAGGAACAUGGCUCAGGGCCAGCUCUGGAUGCACUUGAGGGCUGCGGUACACCUUGCCCUAGACAGAGCAGCCUUUGGAUGUACACAGCACCCAACCGAGAACUGAGACCCCAGGGAAGCUUGCAGGUUUGAGCUGUUAGCCCCAGAAUCCUAAGCUAUGCAAGUCUAACUCAAGCAAGCCUUCCUGAAGAUGUGAAAUGGCCACGCUGGCCCCUGGACCUAGAACCCAGUUAAAGGCAAAGAUUUUGUGAGCUGUGUUGUGAAUCCUCCCUGCCUCCCAGCCAGGAAAGUGUAGACUCUUCCUGCAAGGCAUCAUCUGUGCUUGGAACCGAAGGCAGCGAUGGAUGAGACAUCUGGGACCUUGUCUUCUGGAGACCCUGGCAUCCUGGACUGGUUUCUCUACCCUUGUUGGCUCACAGAUGCCUCUGGAAGAGCACAGCUGUGAGACGUCAUCAGUUCCCAGGACAGGAGAGCUGUAAAUUCUCAGGGUUUGCUUUUGAUAAGAAAGCAGGAGCAAGUGUGAGGCCUGUGGUGGGAGGUUGGAGAUGCCAAGAAGGGCAUCAAAGAUGUGGCUGAGCCUUGAGUAUCUCACUCUGGCCUGUGUAAGGGACUCAUGGUGAGGCAUGUUAGCUGGGUCUGUCUGAGAGUGUGCACCCAACCUCCUCACUCAGUUGCAAACCCAAGAAACUCAAAAGCAGCCAUAGUUUUUAAUUAAUAUCAUCUUCCAAGAAGGGCCAUCUGGUCUACCUGGCUUGCCAUGGAGCAGUGUAGAAAUGGAAUUCCUCCAGAGAGAGUCUACUGCUUUGCUGUGACAACGCACGCAGUGAGCAGCACGCCAUUCUGGAUUUCUGAUGGCGGACUCCUGGCACAGGUACCACCACUCUUUAUAGUCUGGAAUUUUCCUUCGUUCUUGGCUGCAUUUGUGUCUCCACACAUGCUUCCCUAGCUUUCUGAGCACCCACUUCUGAUGUGUCCUAUCCCCCAAGAUUUUAAGGCUUUCUUAGCAAUGGCUGUAAGUAAAUCCUUCAGGUAUGCAAGGCAAAUGAAAGUGUUACAGCAGCACGGGUUGAUGUAUUCCUAUGGGGAUCAGAUGAAGGAGGCAGUAGCUUUGACCAGAGAGGUCUGGGAAGAUUUUGCAGAAGAGGAAGUGUAGACUAAUUUUGUUGUUGCUGACAUGUUCCUCAAUGUUCUCAUACUAUCCUGCAGAGACGUGGGACUUCAGGGGUAACUAGGGGUGAUUAUACUCAUGGAUAGAGCGGUGCUGUUAUCUAAGGGCUGGGAUACGGAUAUGAACGUGUGGCAGACACUCUGCUCUUUGGUGUGUGUUCUUUAAUUUUUCCAUCCAUCUGAAAUGGGGUGAUGCAUGAGGAAGACUAUACCAUACACAGCCCCUGCAUCUUGGACAUCUCAGCGUCCAAAACUACCAGCAAAUAAAAAUAAUUUAUAACUUAGCUACCCACGGGUAUUUUGUUUCAGUCUCAUGCACUAAGACUCAUGGACAAAGAGGAUGGUAGGAGCAUGGGCGAAUGAGACUUAGGUGCUUUGAGCCAGAGGAGUGGGCAGUGGUAAGCAGCAGUGCUGAACCAGACACUGCAGACCCUUGUAGAUAACAACUCCAUCCUCACCAACAAUCCUGUGGACUAGCUACCGUUCCUCACAAUGAGAAGGUGAGGAGUCAGAGACACAGAGAGGAUAAACAGCUUGAUAAAGCCCCGGUUAAGAAACAACAAAGGAAGUAGGACCUACGUCCACAUUCUUAGCUGUUAUGUCUUUGCCUUGCUGGAUGGGUGGUGUUUUUGUGUGUCCCGGUGGCCAGGACCAAUCACAGACGGGGUGGCUUGAGAAGCACAAGUUUCCUUCCUCACAGCCCAGGAGGGCGGCCGUCCAAGAUCAAGUCAAGGUGUUGGCAGGGUUCUUCUUCUUCAUGUGUCCCACAAAAGCUUGCCUCUCUUUUGCACACAAACCCAUGGUGUCCAUGUGAGGUUUCUUCUUAAAAGGACAGCUGCCAUUCUGCUUCAUACACCUCAGAGUAGGAUCCACUCUGAAGGCCCCAGGGUAACAUUUAAAUACAUCUUUGAAGACGCUAUCUCCAAAUUCAGUCACAUCCUGUGGUCUUCAGGGUUAGAGCUUUGACCUAUAAAUACUAGGAGACCCUGUUCAGGCCACAUCAGAAGGGAAGCUCUAAAGAGAAAAGAUGCUCAGAUGCCCAGGAUGGAGAGGAACAAGAACCAGAAACUACACCUGUCCAAGUGCAUGGGACAUGAGAUUCUGUCUCCACAGCUGCUCAGCUGAAGGCAGCUCAGGGCUGCCACAUGGGCAGUCAUUCAAAAUGUCUCGACAGCUACAACAGCUAUGACAGGCUACCUGCACCUCAGAGCCCACUGAAGCCCAGAUGUUCUGUUCGGGGGCCUCUGGAGGUUCAUGUGAGGCCACAUUUUCUCAACUGACCAUGCUACCUAACAUCUCAUUUGAUGGCUGGAGCAGUAGAGUCCAGAAAGCUUUGUGUAUUUAUUUUUUCUAUCAGAAAUGCUCGCUGGAAACAGAACCAUAAAAAGAAACCACCUGUGUUCCCAGGGGGCCCAACAUCUUUUCUUCUACCACUUCCUAUAAGGUCUAUUUGAGUACAAUCUUGGUCUUGGAGUUCAGACUUCUAGGAGCUGGCUGCAAUAAGUCUGAGUCAAGGUAGUGAGUCUUCUCAAAACAAAACAAAACAAAACAAAAACCAAGCAAACAAAACCAAAACCCCUGGGGCUAGAAAGGUAGCCCAGCAGCUAAGUUGGUUCCUAGCAUCCCCAUUUGGUGGCUUGUGACCACCUGUAACUCCAGGGGAUCCAAUGCCUUCUUCUGAUAUCUACAGGCACCAUCCACAUAUACAGGGCAUACACACAUACACAUAACUAGAAAUAAAAUCUAAAUAAGAGACCCUUGGCUAACCAGCCCACAAGAGGCUGCAUGGUGGGGAAGUGCACUUCUCAACCCUGAGGCAAUGGCUUCAGAGGGGUCUGGCAACACCCUGGUCCCUGACAUACUGACUCCUGCAGAACACAAAAAACACCUCCAACCCCGGACAGCUCCUGUCCCUGUCAGCAGCUCCAGGAUCCACCCAGGGAUGCUUCUGUGAGGCCGCCACACUUGCGGAGGAGACUAAAUACCAAAUACACACAGGACCAAGUAGUAUGAACACGAGUUAAGUGAUCACAAGAAUGGAGAGCUCUUCCUGGUUUAGGACCUUUCCACAAAAAUGAACCUUUUCCAACUGUGCCACUGUCCCCAGCACAGGCUCUGUGCUGGGUUCUCUGCCACACACAGUGAAGGGAAUGACAAGAUGGCAGAAGUCGUGGCAUGACUAUGCUGUAGAAAAAGGGGAGAGAGGAGAGGCAAAGGCCACCACCAACACCACACCUCCUCUGCAGCCCCAAGAUGAAGGGCCGUGGGAAAUAUGCAAAUGUGGCUUAUAAGCAGUAAGAGAUGGGGACCCUCCCAUAUGUCAGCUCUAUAAGGAGGGCACCAUCACUAUGGACUGUGCUUGUCCUGUGAUGAUUUGCCCACUGUUGUGGUUCUGGGGAGAGAAGCCAGGGUCUCACACAUGUCAAACACAAGCUUUACCAUUGAGCCACAACCCUAGCUCCUCUGCAGAUGCUAUUUUUAUUACAUUUUCCUUCCUUCCUUCCUUCCUUCCUUCCUUCCUUCCUUCCUUCCUUCCUUCCUUCCUUCCUUCCUUCCUUCCUUCCUCCUCCCUCCCUCCUUCCCUCCUUCCCCCUCCCUCCCUUCCUCCCUCCCUCUUUCUUCUUUCCUUCCUUCCUUCCUUCCUCCCUUCCUCUCUCUCUUCCUCUCUCUCUUUCUCUCCCUCCCUCCCUCCCUCCCUCCUUCCCCUCUUCCCCCUUAAAUAAAGCCAUGUGUAUCCCAGGCUGGCCUAGAACUAUCUAUGCUGAUGGUAAACUUGACCCUCUCAUCCCUCUGCCUCCACAUCCCAAAUACUGAGGUACAAAUCACCACACCUGCUUCUGUGGUGCUGAGGAUUGAACCCAGGGCUGCCUGCAUGCCGGGUAAACAUGCUGCCAACUAAGCUACAUUCCCAGACCAAUUUAUUAACCUUUGACAGUAUGUCAUUAUGAAGCCCAGACUGACCCCAAAAUCAUGAUCCUCCUGCCUCAGACUCUCCAGUGCUGGGAUUACAGGCAUACACCGCACGCCAGGUUCUCUGUGGAGUUCUUGAUGGGCAUGCGAGGCUAUCCCUGCCUGCAAGGAACAGCCAAAUGGGGGAUGAGUUUAUCUUACAGUUUGCAUGUCCCCUCCGCAUGCACACACCAAAGGCUCACAUGUGCUCAGUCUCCAACUGGCGUGGCCAAUCCCGGAUAGGAGGAUGGGUGAGGAGGGAACCAGCCAUCUCUUAAGUCAUGGUGGAGACAUAAUCUGCUAGCAUAACUAGGAGGCUCUGGAGACAUAGAAGGUGGACUUGGUUGGAGGAAGAUGUCUAGAGGCAUGCCUUACCUGGUCCCUGUCCUCUUCCCAUCACUGUUUCUAAGCCUUGAUGAGGUAACCGAGCCUGCCCUGCCACAUGUCCCUGCUGCCAUGGUGUUCUGUGUCACCAAAGGCCCAGAGCCAUGGAGCAAGCUGAACACACCCUGUAUGACAAUGUACAGAUUUAUGUGUGGCCAAAAUAAGACUCUCUUCCUUGUGAGGUCUUCCUUAGGGCCCUGUCAGAGACAAAAUGUCUGACUUACCCAGUGUCCACGUGUGUAUGUAUUGGCCUCCAGGUCUUUUGUCAUUUUGUAUAAAAGGGCUUCAUGGCCAGGUAACAUGGGAGGGAAGAUGGCAGAGAGCAGGGGGUGGGGGGCAGGGCAGGGCAGGACAUGUGUUAUUGGAGUGCACCAAUGGCUUAAACUUAAGGCAAAAAUUCCAGGAAGUGUGUGUGGAGGAGGACAUGGGGGCAAAGCAAGAUUUGGGGCUUGUUAAGUACAGACAGGCAUGGUAGAGUCAGAAGAUUGAAGAUUCUAAAGACACAAGUACCUGUGGACCCCCUCCCAACUACAAGGUGGCACAUGGGAGCCCAAGGAGGAGAUGGUGACCAAGGUGUGAACCUGGAAUGUCGCCAUGUCCACCCCACCUGUCACUUUCCCCUGAUGCAGGCCCAAGAUGCUGACACAUGAAGUUCUGACUCUUGGCUGUUCCAGGUUGGAGGAGUCCACUAUUAGAUUAAAUUGUGUCAGAGUAGUGUUCCCAUAUUUGGCACCAUGGGCUCUGGGCUGCAGCCAGGAAUGAAAAUGUAGAAGCCAUAGCCGCUUUGGAGAGGACUCCCAGGGCAUACCCUGCACACGGCGCUGACCUUCAGCCCACCCUGUCCUGUUUUAUUCAAGCUGGACUUCACUGGUGCCUCUUCCCAUUCCUACCAGUUCAAAAGAAGGUAUCACACCAGCCUGUUUCCAAUGCUCACAGCCCCCAGGUAGCCACCAGUCUGUCAUAUCCGUCCUCUCUCUCUCUCUCUCUCUCUCUCUCUCUCUCUCUCUCUCUCUCUCUCUCUCUCUCUCUCUCUCUGUAAAAGGAGAGGGGAAACUGGGGCAGGGCAGACUUCUGAAGCCUUUGCUGCAGCAAGAGGGAGAAGGGGGCAUAUUGGCAGGCAGAUUUUCUUCUGUCUCUUGAGGCCUGGCUGGGGUGAGGGUUCCCAUUAGACAGUGGGGGUUGGUUACUGAGGGAGAGUACAGCUAUGUAGGCCUUCCCAUGGGGCUAUGGGAUUCCAAGGCAAUGCCCCAGACAGCCAAGAUCCCUGCUUGGCUUUGCCUGCUCUUCUGGGGCUGGUGCCCCCCCCCCCCCAUCUGAUUCAGCAAACAGAUCAGAGGCAGCCAAGGCCUGUUCUGUGAGGGGUGUCUGGGUGCAGGCAGCAGGGUGCUGGGGCAAUGUGCUUUUGGGAGCCAUAAGUGGUAUAGCACAGCUGCUCUGGGGGUACAGGUCUCUGGUCAAGUUGGCAUGCCUAGCAAGGGCAGGGAGCAAACAUACCGCUCUUUGCUGGCAGGACACAAGGGCACAGGACACUGUGCUAAGAAACCCAGGACCAGCGACUUACACAUCUGUGACAGGUUUAUUGCCUGCAAGGGCCUGCCAACAACCUGUCUGUGCUUGUGGUAUUUAAAAGCCUCACACAUUCCAUUUCUCUGGUUGGGCGCCCCACUGGCAGCCCUGCGAAGGAGGCAGCUUGCACCAGUGUGCUGGAGAGAUGCUGGGUUCUGACAGAGUGUCAGUAUUGUUCAAACAUGUGGGACAGAUGCUCCAAAAGGCUUCCAUGCAGGUGAGCCCCCUGAUGCCAGAGAGGAGGAGCUCGGAUUUGUUUGCAAAGCUGCAGGGGUGCAUGUGAAGGCUCCAGGGAGCUCGCAUUCUCUCUGAAAUCUCUCCUUUGGUAAAGCAGUAGCAAGACAGUAAGCUGGAAGCCCCCGGAUGAGCUUCCGCGAUGCUUACUGACCAGGCAUAAAUCACUUGUUUCCCAAGAACAGCUCGUCCCUUCUGUUCUGAUUGUUUGCUGGUGUUUGUAUCUCUCUGCUGGUGAAGUACAAAGAGCUCUAAAUGUAAUGUACCCAAGACCACAAAGUAGGUGAAGUAGCAAAGCUGGGGUUCAAACCCAUACCCUAAACAGUCAUGCUAGAACACUAGCUUUAAACGCUACCAAGGACCAAGGCUACAACUAUGCUGAUUUCCCCAGAGCCCACUAUUAAAUCGUACCUAAGUAGUGUUCCUAUACUUGGCACCAUGGUCUUCUGGCUAUAGCCGGGAAUGAAAAUAUAGAAGCCAUCUUUGGCCCAGAGUGAGGGUAUCUGGAACAUGCCUGUCUUUGGGAAACUGGGCUAAGGUUGAGGUAGGCUAGGGUGGAGCCCCCAGUCCUGGUGAGGAAGGACAGCCACCAACAAUUCUGUGCAGUUGCAGCUUGAGGGCAAGGCUCUAGGAGAGGCAGGAAUGCUCCUUUCAAAUGGAACUACUAGACAGAGGGUGGGCACAGCACCCUAGCUCCUCAGUGCCCUUGCUGCCAAGUGUGUGCAGGCUCUAAGAACCCAGUACUGUCAAACUGUUCUUCAGGGGACGUCUCUGUCCCUCACUCCCACACCUUGUCCUCUGCUUCCUUAGCAUGUGGCCUGGCUCAGUGUGCAAGAAUGACAGAGAUGAAGGAGGCAGCAUGGGACGUUGGGGGAGGGGAGAAGGGAGGAAAGCAGUGGCUAGGAUGCACACAGGUAGGCCACAAUACCAUGUUCCCUCCUGGGCAGGGCUGGAGAACUGGGGAAAAAGGAGUAUCUGGCCUUAAAGAACGUGGCUUAGGUGAAGGAAGGGACACAUCUUUUCCGUGCCCUGCAGCAUGAUGGGCCAACCAGCUAUGAAGACUGCCAAGGUCGGCCUGUGUGGCAAACCUUCUAUACAGCACUAUCCGCUUCCAGCUGCACCCUGACCAGCCCUGUGAUAAACACAAGCCACAGAUAAAUGCCCUCAGGCCGCUUUCUCACUACCUAUGUCUGUCACAUGCACAGACCACAGAGCAGCAGGUGGCAUCUAGGAGGUAGUGCGCUGUGUAGACACAACACAUACGGGUCUUAAAACCAAUGGUCGCAUCGAAGAAACACAGCCUUUGUUUUAGUGAAUCCAUACUUUUUUUUUCUU